rnacentral:rRNA from 1 species
AACGAACGCUGGCGGCAUGCCUAACGCAUGCAAGUCGAACGAGAUCUUCGGGUCUAGUGGCGCACGGGUGCGUAACGCGUGGGAAUCUGCCCUUUGGUUCGGAAUAACAGUUGGAAACGACUGCUAAUACCGGAUGAUGACGAAAGUCCAAAGAUUUAUCGCCAGAGGAUGAGCCCGCGUAGGAUUAGCUAGUUGGUGUGGUAAAGGCGCACCAAGGCGACGAUCCUUAGCUGGUCUGAGAGGAUGAUCAGCCACACUGGGACGGGGACACGGCCCAGACUCCUACGGGAGGCAGCAUUGGGGAAUAUUGGACAAUGGGCGAAAGCCUGAUCCAGCAAUGCCGCGUGAGUGAUGAAGGCCUUAGGGUUGUAAAGCUCUUUUACCCGGGAUGAUAAUGACAGUACCGGGAGAAUAAGCUCCGGCUAACUCCGUGCCAGCCGCCGCGGUAA